rnacentral:rRNA from 1 species
AAAGCUCUUCUUGUUUUUAAAGACCUAGUAAUAGGGUAUGCUUAGGGAGGAGCUUGCGUCACAUUAGUUAGUUGGUGGGGUAAAGGCCUACCAAGACUAUGAUGUGUAGCCGGGCUGAGAGGUUGAACGGCCACAUUGGGACUGAGACACGGCCCAAACUCCUACGGGAGGCAGCAGUAGGGAAUUUUCGGCAAUGGAGGAAACUCUGACCGAGCAACGCCGCGUGAACGAUGAAGUAUUUCGGUACGUAAAGUUCUUUUAUUAGGGAAGAAUAAAUGAUGGAAAAAUCAUUCUNGACGGUACCCUAAUGAAUAAGCCCCGGGCUAACUAUGUGCCAGCAGCCGCGGUAAUUACAUAGGGGGGCAAGCGUUAUCCGGAAUUAUUGGGCGUAAAGGGUGCGUAGGCGGUUAAAUAAGUUUAUGGUCUAAGUGCAAUGCUCAACAUUGUGAUGCUAUAAAAACUGUUUAGCUAGAGUAAGAUAGAGGCAAGUGGAAUUCCAUGUGUAGUGGUAAAAUGCGUAAAUAUAUGGAGGAACACCAGUAGCGAAGGCGGCUUGCUGGGUCUUUACUGACGCUGAGGCACGAAAGCGUGGGGAGCAAACAGGAUUAGAUACCCUGGUAGUCCACGCCGUAAACGAUGAGUACUAAACGUUGGGUAAAACCAGUGUUGAAGUUAACACAUUAAGUACUCCGCCUGAGUAGUACGUACGCAAGUAUGAAACUUAAAGGAAUUGACGGGACUCCGCACAAGCGGUGGAUCAUGUUGUUUAAUUCGAAGGUACCCGAAAAACCUCACCAGGUCUUGACAUGCUUCUGCAAAGCUGUAGAAACACAGUGGAGGUUAUCAGUUGCACAGGUGGUGCAUGGUUGUCGUCAGCUCGUGUCGUGAGAUGUUGGGUUAAGUCCCGCAACGAGCGCAACCCUUAUUGUUAGUUACCAGCACGUAAUGGUGGGGACUUUAGCAAGACUGCCAGUGAUAAAUUGGAGGAAGGUGGGGACGACGUCAAAUCAUCAUGCCCCUUAUGACCUGGGCUACAAACGUGAUACAAUGGCUGUUACAAAGGGUAGCUGAAGCGCAAGUUUUUGGCGAAUCUCAAAAAAACAGUCUCAGUUCGGAUUGAAGUCUGCAACUCGACUUCAUGAAGUGGAAUCGCUAGUAUCGCGAAUNAGCUUCGC